AAAUCGUUCGACGAGGAUCUAUUGGAGGGCAAGUCUGGUGCCAGCAGCCGCGGUAAUUCCAGCUCCAAUAGCGUAUAUUAAAGUUGUUGCAGUUAAAAAGCUCGUAGUUGGAUCUGGGGUUCGGGUCGGCGGUUUGCCGCUUCGGCGGCUACUGCCGUGCUCGACUCUUACUAGCCGGUGCGUCUUGCGGUGCUCUUCAUCGAGUGCCGUAGGAGCCUGGCAUGUUUACUUUGAAAAAAUUAGAGUGCUCAAAGCAGGCGAUUCCGCCUGAAUAGUGUUGCAUGGAAUAAUGGAAUAGGACCUCGGUUCUAUUUUGUUGGUUUUCGGAACUUGAGGUAAUGAUUAAGAGGGACGGUCGGGGGCAUUCGUAUUUCGGUGUUAGAGGUGAAAUUCUUGGAUCGCUGAAAGACGGACAAAUGCGAAAGCAUCUGCCAAGAACGUCUCCAUUAAUCAAGAACGAAAGUCAGAGGUUCGAAGACGAUCAGACACCGUCCUAGUUCUGACCAUAAACGAUGCCAACUAGCGAUCCGCAGUGGUUGCUAUAAACGGACUCUGCGAGCAGCUUCCGGGAAACCAAAGUGUUUGGGUUCCGGGGGAAGUAUGGUUGCAAAGCUGAAACUUAAAGGAAUUGACGGAAGGGCACCACCAGGAGUGGAGCCUGCGGCUUAAUUUGACUCAACACGGGGAAACUCACCCGGUCCGGACACUGUAAGGAUUGACAGAUCGAGAGCUCUUUCUUGAUUCGGUGGAUGGUGGUGCAUGGCCGUUCUUAGUUGGUGGAGUGAUUUGUCUGGUUAAUUCCGAUAACGAACGAGACUCUAGCCUGCUAACUAGUUGCGCCGUGUUCAUACGCGGCUGUAGACUUCUUAGAGGGACAGGUGGCGUUUAGCCACACGAAAUUGAGCAAUAACAGGUCUGUGAUGCCCUUAGAUGUCCGGGGCCGCACGCGCGCUACACUGAAGGAGUCAGCGUGUGCUAUCCGGGCUCGGAAGAGUUCGGUAACCCGUUGAAACUCCUUCGUGCUUGGGAUUGUGGCUUGUAAUUAUCGCGCAUGAACGAGGAAUUCCCAGUAAGUGCAAGUCAUCAGCUUGCGCUGACUACGUCCCUGCCCUUUGUACACACCGCCCGUCGCUACUACCGAUUGAAUGGUUUAGCAAGGUACUCGGAUUGGUCUCGAUCUUGUACGAAAGUGCGGGAUCUGUGGCCGAGAAGAAGGCCAAACUUGAUCAUUUAGAGGAAGUAAA
rnacentral:rRNA from 1 species